rnacentral:rRNA from 1 species
AGCGUACACGGUGGAUGCCCUGGCAGUCAGAGGCGAUGAAGGACGUGCUAAUCUGCGAUAAGCGUCGGUGAGGUGAUAUGAACCGUUAUAACCGGCGAUUUCCGAAUGGGGAAACCCAGUGUGUUUCGACACACUAUCAUUAACUGAAUCCAUAGGUUAAUGAGGCGAACCGGGGGAACUGAAACAUCUAAGUACCCCGAGGAAAAGAAAUCAACCGAGAUUCCCCCAGUAGCGGCGAGCGAACGGGGAGGAGCCCAGAGCCUGAAUCAGUGUGUGUGUUAGUGGAAGCGUCUGGAAAGGCGCGCGAUACAGGGUGACAGCCCCGUACACAAAAAUGCACAUGCUGUGAGCUCGAUGAGUAGGGCGGGACACGUGGUAUCCUGUCUGAAUAUGGGGGGACCAUCCUCCAAGGCUAAAUACUCCUGACUGACCGAUAGUGAACCAGUACCGUGAGGGAAAGGCGAAAAGAACCCCGGCGAGGGGAGUGAAAAAGAACCUGAAACCGUGUACGUACAAGCAGUGGGAGCCUCUUAAUGGGGUGACUGCGUACCUUUUGUAUAAUGGGUCAGCGACUUAUAUUCUGUAGCAAGGUUAACCGAAUAGGGGAGCCGAAGGGAAACCGAGUCUUAACUGGGCGUUAAGUUGCAGGGUAUAGACCCGAAACCCGGUGAUCUAGCCAUGGGCAGGUUGAAGGUUGGGUAACACUAACUGGAGGACCGAACCGACUAAUGUUGAAAAAUUAGCGGAUGACUUGUGGCUGGGGGUGAAAGGCCAAUCAAACCGGGAGAUAGCUGGUUCUCCCCGAAAGCUAUUUAGGUAGCGCCUCGUGAAUUCAUCUCCGGGGGUAGAGCACUGUUUCGGCAAGGGGGUCAUCCCGACUUACCAACCCGAUGCAAACUGCGAAUACCGGAGAAUGUUAUCACGGGAGACACACGGCGGGUGCUAACGUCCGUCGUGAAGAGGGAAACAACCCAGACCGCCAGCUAAGGUCCCAAAGUCAUGGUUAAGUGGGAAACGAUGUGGGAAGGCCCAGACAGCCAGGAUGUUGGCUUAGAAGCAGCCAUCAUUUAAAGAAAGCGUAAUAGCUCACUGGUCGAGUCGGCCUGCGCGGAAGAUGUAACGGGGCUAAACCAUGCACCGAAGCUGCGGCAGCGACGCUUAUGCGUUGUUGGGUAGGGGAGCGUUCUGUAAGCCUGCGAAGGUGUACUGUGAGGUAUGCUGGAGGUAUCAGAAGUGCGAAUGCUGACAUAAGUAACGAUAAAGCGGGUGAAAAGCCCGCUCGCCGGAAGACCAAGGGUUCCUGUCCAACGUUAAUCGGGGCAGGGUGAGUCGACCCCUAAGGCGAGGCCGAAAGGCGUAGUCGAUGGGAAACAGGUUAAUAUUCCUGUACUUGGUGUUACUGCGAAGGGGGGACGGAGAAGGCUAUGUUGGCCGGGCGACGGUUGUCCCGGUUUAAGCGUGUAGGCUGGUUUUCCAGGCAAAUCCGGAAAACUAAGGCUGAGGCGUGAUGACGAGGCACUACGGUGCUGAAGCAACAAAUGCCCUGCUUCCAGGAAAAGCCUCUAAGCAUCAGGUAACAUCAAAUCGUACCCCAAACCGACACAGGUGGUCAGGUAGAGAAUACCAAGGCGCUUGAGAGAACUCGGGUGAAGGAACUAGGCAAAAUGGUGCCGUAACUUCGGGAGAAGGCACGCUGAUAUGUAGGUGAAGCGACUUGCUCGUGGAGCUGAAAUCAGUCGAAGAUACCAGCUGGCUGCAACUGUUUAUUAAAAACACAGCACUGUGCAAACACGAAAGUGGACGUAUACGGUGUGACGCCUGCCCGGUGCCGGAAGGUUAAUUGAUGGGGUUAGCGGUAACGCGAAGCUCUUGAUCGAAGCCCCGGUAAACGGCGGCCGUAACUAUAACGGUCCUAAGGUAGCGAAAUUCCUUGUCGGGUAAGUUCCGACCUGCACGAAUGGCGUAAUGAUGGCCAGGCUGUCUCCACCCGAGACUCAGUGAAAUUGAACUCGCUGUGAAGAUGCAGUGUACCCGCGGCAAGACGGAAAGACCCCGUGAACCUUUACUAUAGCUUGACACUGAACAUUGAGCCUUGAUGUGUAGGAUAGGUGGGAGGCUUUGAAGUGUGGACGCCAGUCUGCAUGGAGCCGGCCUUGAAAUACCACCCUUUAAUGUUUGAUGUUCUAACGUUGGCCCCUGAUCGGGGUUGCGGACAGUGUCUGGUGGGUAGUUUGACUGGGGCGGUCUCCUCCUAAAGAGUAACGGAGGAGCACGAAGGUUGGCUAAUCCUGGUCGGACAUCAGGAGGUUAGUGCAAUGGCAUAAGCCAGCUUGACUGCGAGCGUGACGGCGCGAGCAGGUGCGAAAGCAGGUCAUAGUGAUCCGGUGGUUCUGAAUGGAAGGGCCAUCGCUCAACGGAUAAAAGGUACUCCGGGGAUAACAGGCUGAUACCGCCCAAGAGUUCAUAUCGACGGCGGUGUUUGGCACCUCGAUGUCGGCUCAUCACAUCCUGGGGCUGAAGUAGGUCCCAAGGGUAUGGCUGUUCGCCAUUUAAAGUGGUACGCGAGCUGGGUUUAGAACGUCGUGAGACAGUUCGGUCCCUAUCUGCCGUGGGCGCUGGAGAACUGAGGGGGGCUGCUCCUAGUACGAGAGGACCGGAGUGGACGCAUCACUGGUGUUCGGGUUGUCAUGCCAAUGGCACUGCCCGGUAGCUAAAUGCGGAAGAGAUAAGUGCUGAAAGCAUCUAAGCACGAAACUUGCCCCGAGAUGAGUUCU